rnacentral:lncRNA from 1 species
GUGACUGGGCGGCUGCUGUGGCUUCGCGUGGGAGGUGGCCGAGAACUGUGAGUUGAAAUGAGAUUGAUGUGGUGGCUCAGCCAGCUCCCUCAGGAGACGUGUCACAUCUCAAACCCAGGCCUUCAGCCCCGGGCACAGCACCCGGGCUCUGAGAAGGUGGGCUGCGGGGGUUGGAGGGGGUGGUGAGGGCUGCAAUGCCCCCAGAGAGACCAGCAGAAGUGGAGGGAGCCCCCCCUUGUCCCCAGGCUGGCAGAUCCCAGCAGGAGGAAGCGGGGACCAUACCCACACCUGAAGGCCCUCCAGGCCUCCUGCCCUUGGGCCCAAACCCCUUGCAGGUGGAGCUGGGAUUCGGUCUGGAGAAAAGGACUUUUAAAAUGAGGAAAUUGGAGUUCCUGUCGUGGCUCAGUGGUUAACGAAUCCAACUAAGGACCAUGAGGUUGCGGGUUCGGUCCCUGGCCUUGCUCAGUGGGUUAAGGAUCCGGCGUUGCCGUGAGCUGUGGUGUAGGUCGCUGAUGUGGCUCAGAUCCCAAGUUUCUGUGGCUCUGGCAUAGGCCGGCGGCUACAGCUCUGAUUCGACCCCUAGCUCAGGAAGCUCCACAUGCCACGGGUGCGGCCCUAAAAAGACAAAAAAAUAAAAAAUAAAUAAAAAUAAAAUGAGGAAAUUGAGGCCCAGAGCGAGGUGUUCGGGGCCUGGCGGGGAUGGCACGGCUGAGCUGGAACUUAGCGAAGUUAAUUCUCGGUGAUUUCCUUCCUCUUCCCCUCUUUUCUGUCUUACUUCCCCGCCUCUGGGGGCAUUCACGCCAGUGGCAGAGAGGCAGGGGUCCCUGUUCUCUGGGGCAGGAGGGCUGCUCUGCGUGGCCCCAGGGCUCUCUUUCUUACUGCAUUUUAGAAAGCAGGCAAAAUUCACCGACCAUAGCAUCCACCCUUUCAAGUGUGCCGUUCCGUGGUUUUCAGCGCAUUCACCAUUGCCGUGUGUUUUAAGAGAUUGCGACGCUUCCGUUCCCAGGCCCGGUGGCUCCUGGUGUCACAGCCAUGGCAAGUUACCCCAUCUUCUGUGCCUCCGUCUCCCCUACAUCUGACAGAGACGGUGGCCGUCCCUACCCCAGAGCGCUGGCGUUGGGCUCCGUGGCGCACGCACAGUAGGUGCCCCUGUGACAGCUGCCAUCACGAUUCACGAAGCCACAGGCCCUGGGCCACGUGGGAACAGAGGGACAUGAACAGCCCAGACUGCCUUGCAGAGACUCAAAGCCUCGGAGCAGAAAUUGCUAUUAGCUACAAGAGGGAGAAAAAGUGGGAACAGCUUCCUCGGGUACCGUUCCUACAGGACAGCAGGUGUUGACACGUGACUGUCCCCGCGGAGCCAAUAAUCCCUCUUCUGAGUCAAGCCCCGUGCUAUGCCCCCCACUGUCAAUUUCUCCAGCUUCUAAAGGAAGGGGGUGUGGGAUGGAACGGGCAGGGGUGGGUGUGCCGCCUCCUACGUGGGGCACUGAGAACAGGUGCUUGGUUUCCGUUGCCUUUGGAGACGGUAGGAUGAGGGAGCACUGGGUCAGCUCAUCAUUCCAAAUCCCAGCCUCCCUCCUUAGACGUCUGCAGAAGGAACAGAGCAGGUAUCACCCGCUGCAGAGAGCUGGGCGCCAGUGGCUCACCCUGCCCCCCCCGCCCCCGCCCAGGAAAGCACCCAGCAUCUCCCAAGCUCAGUGCCUGCAGGACGACGCUCAAACUCCCAGCACAGCCUGGCCCUGGGGGCGAGGACCUGCUUGGCUUCCCCUGUCCGCCCCUGAUGCGAGCUUUCCGCUCUGGCUCCUGAGUGUCCCCCGGAUGCUUGUGGGCGGGCUGCAGACUUCAGUUUGUCUUUUUGUCUUGGUAGCCCAGGUACUUAUCCAGCACAUAGUCGGUCCCCUUAAAUGUUUGUUGAGGGACUCAGUGAAGCCGAGGUGUGCAGUUCCUGUGUCCUGGGACCCCAGGCAAGUCCAGUCCUGUCCCCUGGGGAGAUGUCUGAAUACAGGGGAUGCCGGAGGCGGAUCUUGCCGCGCGUGAGAAGUGAGACCCUUCUUUGCUGCUGGCACGUGGUCCUGCCAGAGCGCCGUUGCCUCACCUGCCGGGGUCAGUGGUGCUUGUCCUGGGGAGGAAGGUCCAUGGAGUGCGCAGUGACAGUGGCCCGUUUCCAAAGAGCCUCUGAAAGCACCUGCUGGAUUAGACCUUUGGUGGCCCAGGUAUGUGUGGCCGCCGAUAGCAAUGACAAGGGACAUUUUGUGACCAGAGGUGGUGUUUUCAUCCUGCGACAUCACUUUCAAAAGGUUAGGAACGAGCCUGGAAUGUCCCCUGGGGAGUUCGUUGUGGGUCUGUGACUUCACAGGGUGAAUUCACGAUGCCGGAUGCGGAGAGGCCUGGCCUGAGCGCCAGCGCCUGUGUCUGGGGCCAUCGUGAGCGUGUCGUGGCCUCUCCAAGUCCCGGCCCCGUCCUGGCUUUGCCCUGGAUUUGCCCAGAGGACCUCAGACAAGGGCGUCUCUCCAGGUUCAAUGUCUCUCCACGCGACAUAGAGACAGUGCUGCGGGCAUCACACAGGUGCGUCACUGAGCCACCCGGGGGGCCUGGCUCCCAGGGCGUGGUCAGCAGGGGCGUGAGCGGUGCCUUGAAGCCAUGCGAGGCAUCCUCAGCUUCGUUCUUUCUCACUGUGGAGGAAGCACGCCUGGUGCUCCUCCAAACCAAACCCUCGCUUUCCUCCUCUGUCCUAAAACUCCCCCCAAACAGCUGUCCCCCUGCAUGUGCUCAGGGCUUAAGGAGGGGCCCCCACCCCUCCUGCCCCCCAUUCUGAAGUUAAGUACGCUGACCCACCCACCUGCAGGAAGGCCUGGAAGCCAGCCCCCCGUGAAAGAGCAGCUCACAUUAUUAAAUGGCUAAACCUGGAGUUGCAGUCUGACUCAGCCGAUUAAGAAGCAGAUUCGUAUCCAUGAGAUGUGGGUUCGAUCCCUGGCCUUGCUCAGUGGGUUAAGGAUCCGGCAUUGCCGUGAGCUGCAGUGUAGGCCACAGACAUGGCUCAGAUUCUUCUUUUCUGCAGCUGGGGCGUAGGCCAGCAGCUGCAG